UUUAUUUCCUCAUUUUAGUAAGACCAUCAGGCCUUUUUGUAACCUUUGUCACAAGUCUUAAGUUACAAGUAUUUUGUAGGUAUGUGUUUUGUGCCCUGUUUCAAGUUAAGUGCCAAGUUCAAGAGGAUCAUGACAGUUGGUUUGCUGUUGAAUUUCUUCUCAGAGCUGGAUGGUCUUUCAACAACACUGCUCCGGGUCUUCAGCAAGAAAGGUGCUUCUCAUGCAAGGAAGAUACAGAGGAUCCUGGUGCCCAUGACUCAGACUGACAACAUUGAUGUGAAGAGGGAGUGCAUGCUGAGGAGCUGACGGUCUACCUGAAUGAAGAGCCAGACAAAGUGGAUGUUGAUCUGGACGGUCCAGCUGAAACGUAUUGUCUUCGUGUGCGUGUGAUCGGCAGAGAGUCCUCAACGACAUUGGUAACGUACCUGUGGCCAUUGCAGUGUUUGUUUUGGUUUAUGCUCUUAAUCUCUGUUACCUUCCAGAAUGGAAGUACACUUUCAAAUUUCUGUUUCAUUCUAACCGUCUGUUUCAUCAGUUUUUGCACUGCUUUUAA